UCAAUAGACCCAUCAUAUACUAAACUCUCCGGUAGGCUUACUUCUGUAAAUUCUUCUCUUGUCAUAUGAAAUGAAAUAAUCAGAUUAUAGGCCUCAAAUCCAGGAUCUAUAGUACUCCUAUCAGUAGCAAGCCAAUAACAGAACCCAUCUACAACAACCUGCGAACAGCUGAAUUGAAUUGAUUUACGAGGGAGAUUGGUGCUAUAUGGACUUCUCCAAACCCCUGAGCUUACAGUAAAAACCUCAACCUGCCAAGGGAUGAGAGUUACACUUUCCGUAUCACUCCAAGUGUUAAUUUCUGUAAUCUUGACAAUCUUAGGGUCAUUAGUCUCUGGACAAACCCCAAAACCUGUAAAGGUUGUGUAUAUUUCCUCAUCUGGCACAUUAGGCACAACAACAGCAAUAGCUUUUCUAAUUGAAAUAUUCCAAAUAACAGCCAUUCUGGUUCCAAGACCAUAUCUGUCAUCAUCGCCAUAAAAACAGUGCAAACACAACAAGCCACGAGAGCUGCCGGUUAUUAUAGAAUGUCUAAGCCAGUUAACCAACGGGGGAGGAGGAAACUCUCUGGUUGUUGGGUAAAGCAUGAUCAUCGACAACUGAAGAAUAUAUUGGCGAGAUGUUGCAGCUGUGGGUGUGGGGCGCUGUAAUCUGCAAUAAAAUGACUACUGCCAAUGAGAGACUUCCAG
rnacentral:lncRNA from 1 species